rnacentral:lncRNA from 1 species
AUGUGCUCGACAGCAGGGUUCAUCUUGGAUUCAGAGAGAAGAAAACAAAAGCGACAGCAAAUGUCUCUCCGUUCUCCAUUUACGAGCUGUUCAUAUAGACAUUCAUGGCCCACAGAGGAGGAAUGGCGAUCACCUGACAUUUCUUUUAACACCAGCAGGAGCAUCUUUAAGGAAAAAGUCUUCAAAGCAAUUGGAUAUACUGCAAUAAUAUCUGCUACGCGCUCGUGUUCCCUAAAGCGGGAUAGAAAUACUCUAGUAAUCCUUUCACGUGUGUCUGUGCCAAUAUCCAGUCAAAAUUUCAAUUAAUCCAGUACUUUGGGUUACAACUUAAUAACUGCUAAAGUGGUGACGUUCUUAAUCAGCCUCAGCUGAACUUUGCAACACUAAAAGUGAGAGGGUGAAUAAGCAGGACACCUACUUGGCAUCUGCCUGGUCAUUAUAAGCGUGUCAGCGUGUUAGUAGGUGUUUUGAAUUGUGAUUUGACCGCAUUCUGACGCAUUUGAUCAAGUAAAUAUAUUAAAUGAAUAAAAGCAUGAUUACAGUGCUGUGCAAAGGUGUUGAGCUACCCCUGAUUUCGUUAUAUUUUGCUUCCAAGGAGCCAGACUUUCCUGUAAUAUUUUAAAGUGGUCUUGAGCCACAGUUCUCCAGGUUUGCGAAGGUCAUUCCAAGCUUUUCUUUGGACACUGACUGCUUUUUAACUCAUUUUCAGUCCAGUCCUUGUACCGGACUACUUUCCAAGGAAGCUUUUGUUUGUUUGUCUGUUUGUUUGUUUCUUAAGCCACUCAACACUGACCUGAUCUAUAAAUCAUUCAAGCUCUUAAAGCAAAAAGCCACUUAACUUGUGAACCAGUGUUGUGUCUGCACAUAACAGACAAUUUGGCCAAGAACCAAUUUUAAAUUGUAUCUUUUGACCUUUAUUACUGGCAGCUUUUUGCACAAACACAUAAUUAGUUUAGCUGAAUCUGUGAAAAACAGUUUGACCGACAUAAAAAGAUAUUUUUGCACCAACAAGGUGAUUCUUAAGGAGCUAUUAGAUGAAAUGUUGGUAUAUUGUGACAUGGUGUGUAGCGUGGCCUUAAAAAUUUUGAGGAAACUAGACAAGUGGAGACAAAAGAAGAGGCAGCAGACCUAAAAAAACCCUACAGCAGACGAGGAGUAUCUGUACGACUGUUGAUGGAACAGUCUCAGUAGAAGGGUAGGUGUCAUUUAGGCAUUCUUAAGGAAGACGAAGGGGCUGAGGUGUGCUAAAUUAUACAAGAACUGGACUGAAAAUCAGAUGGAACAUGUUGUAGGAGGUCGAAAGAGAGGUACAACAGCGAGUGUCAUCUGAUAUUGAGCCCAAACACACUAAAAAAGCAGUAAAAGCAUACCUGGAUAACCAGCUGAUAAACAGCUGCACUGAAAUAAAUAAUGUGAGGUUCAAGAUUUUUACACAUUACUACCAAUCAGCGAUGAAAAAACCCCUUAGACAUGGGCGUUCUCCAUUUUGAAAUGUGUGUGCAUGAGCUGCUGUGAUAUGAAAGUACAUUCAGGCUAUUUAUGGAAGCACUAAUCACAGCCACCUAUACACAUUAACACAAUGACCUCAUUCCUUGAAAAUGCCAGUAUCUCAUAGGUAGCUGUAGGAAGGGUGAAAACACACUUAAAUGGGUCCUCCAUGAUCUGAGUGAACAUGAAAGCUAAGCUCAAUACACUCCUUGUUGCACAGACGACUUUUUGUUUAUGUAAAGGCAUGUGGACAGACAGUCAUCUUUCACAUAUUGUAGUGAAUAUAACAUUUUUGUCUUUUGAAAUCUAUAUAUACUAUUGUAAAAGAUUAAUUUUGAUCAUUCCUAGGACAAAUCUAUGGAUAAUGUUUUGCUGGGCUAACAAACCUCUACAACAAUAAUAUGGUAUAUGCAUCACCAUCCUCACGAACUGUUGGCCCUAUGUGUGGCAGUCCACAAAGUUGUACACAGGUGGCAUCUGUCCAUGACCACCUGAUUGGUCGUUAAAGCAUCAGGCAUCCAAGAUGGCAACUCUGUGGCAACUGCUGCUGUUGAGGAUGCGCACACAUUAACUGCACAAAUAUAAAUUUACUCAGACAAUUAGGGUGUAUAAUCACUGGAAGCCUGUGUUAUUGUUUCACAGAGAUUUAUGAGCUGUCAACACGCCACAGGAUGUAAUAAAAAAAAAUAAUUUCAGAAACCAUAAGACGUGUCUUUAAAUGUCUGCUUAAUUUCCUUUCCAAUUAGACUCAGUCUCCCCCCCACCUGUAGUCUGAGAAUCGAUUUCAUCACAGCCAUUAGGGGGCAGCAUUGAUUGAAUAAAUGCAAGGAAAUGAAAGGGAACUCUCCUCUCCUUUCUCCCUCAAACACACACACACAUAUGCGCGCACAAAGGGGGCACAGACAUGGACAUGAUCAAUUAUGUGUCAAGCAUUUCUUCCUCAGUGAAUGAAUGGCCCAGUGACUAUAGGCUACCGACCGUCUAUUGUCUAUUGACACUGGAGACUAAGUUCUCAUGCAGUUCAUUAUCCCAAAAGAGGACGACUAGAAAGAGAUCCAAAGAGACCAUUAAUCAUCAUUCCCUUCAGAGAAGAAAAAGAAGGGGGCCAAAAGAACAGAUACUGUAAUCCUGUGUAUAUAGAAUAAAACCAAUAUAUUUACAGCGGUACAGCUAGAAAUAGCAGAAAUAACAGACUAGUCGUAGGGAAAAUGUUACAAAUGCAAUCCUUCAUAACCAAAAUGAUAAAUGUGGCGCUCCAGGGGAAUUUCUUGAUGGACCAAUUAGUAAUUAGUUAUCUACUGGGAACAACAAGCCCUGGACUUAAAGGGGCCAAAGUUUUGCUCUUGUAAGCACUUUCACACACACACACACACACACACACACACACUCGUUUUCCUCACCGAAGCUUUCAGUAUGACGAAUAACUCCAAAGUCCAUUUCAAUUUGGGUCGAUGGCUCGGGCCGAGGUGGUGGUGGAGGUGGUGGUGAGAGGGGAGGUGGAGAUGUGGGGUCAACCCAAUAACAGCACCCCCCCGCCCCGAGUUUUCGCUCCCUCCUUCUACCUAAGAUCUACCCAUCCACGUCCCUAUAAAUGCCUUCGCUUCCUGCUUCCAAGUUCGGACAGAGCGCUGUGAUUGGCCGCUGCUGGCACAGUGGGCUGUUCCUCAUGCGCUCUCCUCAGCUCGGGUUACAGUUGAGCUCGGGCUGCCGCACACACCGGAGGGCACAGUGUUACAGACGGUUAGGAAAAAAAAACACAACAUACCGGCGUGGAAAUGUUGGUGAGCUGAUUUAGGAGCCACGUCGAGAAGCAGGGGAGCAGGUCUAAUCUUACCUCGGCACUUUUUUGUGUGUGUUUCAUGAAGCAAUAAACUAGCGGGGAGACCGGACUGUAUUUUUACGCACCGGCCACGCAGCAUGCCCGAGUUGGACUAGAAGCGACCCUGCCGGAGCGCAACACGCACGCGUAACGCCACUGAGAGCCAGGAGGAAUAUUUACAAUAGAAACUCAAUUCCUUUUUUCUUUUUUUUGGGAGGAAGAAUAGCAAAAGCAGGGGGCGGAGGAGUGAAAGAUAACACUGGAAUGAAGUGGACCUCGGGAUUCCUGGCGUGCUGCG